UGCCUUGACUAUUAGUGGAUCAGAUUUUUAUUUAUUUGUUCAACUUGUAUGCCGCCUUUCUCCGAAGACUCAAGGCUCUUGUAUAUAGGUUGCAGGGAAUAAACUUACAGUGCUUUUGAACUCUAUACUGGCUCCUGGUUUCCUGAAUUUGACACUUUUUUCUCUUUGCAUAUCUAUUCCGCAUAUGUACUUUUUUAAAAAAAAUGCAAAUACUUUUUGUGCAUAAAAUACGGCUUUGUGAUAGAUGAGAUCUCUUCCCAUCAUAUCUUUUAUGAACAGUUCUUCAGAGGAGAUCUUUUAUUAAAGAAAGACGAACAACCAGAUACUAUAAUCUGGGAAGAAUUCAUACUAUGGUGGCUUUUGCUUCCUUAGAAAUCUGUAGCAAAGGUUUACUUUUACAUUUAUAUUUCUGUUUUAAUUUUUGAUUCCAACUCUCACCAGCACCAGCCAGGAAGCUGAAAGCUGUAUAUCAGAAUAUGGAAUAUCACAAGUUUUCCCAUCCCCGUGUUAUAGGAAUCAUAAUCACCAUGGGGAAAAAAGAAAAGAUUUCUAGCGAGGAAAUUCAGAUUCCAAGACAAUAUUAAGAAAUUAAAACAACAGAUCCCACAGAUA